rnacentral:rRNA from 1 species
GUGAGGAAUUUUCCGCAAUGGGCGAAAGCCUGACGGAGCAAUGCCGCGUGAAGGAUGAAGGCCUAUGGGUUGUAAACUUCUUUUCUCAGAAAAGAAUUAUGACGGUAUCUGAGGAAUAAGCAUCGGCUAACUCUGUGCCAGCAGCCGCGGUAAGACAGAGGAUGCAAGCGUUAUCCGGAAUGAUUGGGCGUAAAGCGUCUGUAGGUUGUUUAAAAAGUAUUCUGUCAAAGAUUAGGGCUUAACCCUAGAUAGGCAGAAUAAACUUUUAAGCUAGAGUUUGGUAGAGGCAGAGUGAAUUCCCGGUGGAGCGGUGAAAUGCGUAGAUAUCGGGAGGAACACCAAAGGCGAAGGCACUCUGCUGGGCCAAUACUAACACUGAGAGACGAAAGCGAGGGGAGCAAAUGGGAUUAGAAACCCGAGUAGUCC